UACAGAGGGUGCAAGCGUUAAUCGGAAUUACUGGGCGUAAAGCGUGCGUAGACGGUUAUGUAAGUCAGAUAUGAAAGCCCCGGGCUCAACCUGGGAAUUGCAUUUGAGACUGCAUAGCUAGGGUGCGGAAGAGGGAAGCGGAAUUUCCGGUGUAGCGGUGAAAUGCGUAGAUAUCGGAAGGAACACCAGUGGCGAAAGCGGCUUCCUGGUCCAGCACCGACGUUCAGGCACGAAAGCGUGGGGAGCAAACAGG
rnacentral:rRNA from 1 species